ACCGAAAUAGCUCAGUUGGGAGAGCGUUAGUCAAUGAAUAUCGAAAGGCCCCUGGUUCGAUCCCGGGAUUCGGGA
rnacentral:tRNA from 1 species